AAUUUUGCGCAAUGGGGGAAACCCUGACGCAGCGACGCCGCGUGAGUGACGAAGGCCUUCGGGUCGUAAAACUUUGUCUAGAGGGACGAAUAAAAUGACGGUACCUCUGGAGGAAGCCCCGGCUAACUACGUGCCAGCAGCCGCGGUAAUACGUAGGGGGCUAGCGUUGUCCGGAAUUACUGGGCGUAAAGGGCGCGCAGGCGGCUAGAUAAGUCAUACGUGAAAGGCACUGGCUCAACUGGUGUAGGUCGUGUGAAACUGUCUGGCUUGAGUGCAGUAGAGGGAAGUGGAAUUCCUAGUGUAGCGGUGAUAUGCGUAGAUAUUAGGAGGAACACCAGUGGCGAAGGCGACUUUCUGGGCUGCAACUGACGCUGAGGCGCGAAAGCUGGGGGAGCGAAC
rnacentral:rRNA from 1 species